AUUGAACGCUGGCGGCAUGCCUUACACAUGCAAGUCGAACGGCAGCACGGGGAGCAAUCCUGGUGGCGAGUGGCGAACGGGUGAGUAAUGUAUCGGAACGUACCUUUCAGUGGGGGAUAACGUAGCGAAAGUUACGCUAAUACCGCAUAUUCUGUGAGCAGGAAAGCAGGGGAUCGCAAGACCUUGCGCUGAUUGAGCGGCCGAUAUCAGAUUAGCUAGUUGGUGAGGUAAAGGCUCACCAAGGCGACGAUCUGUAGCGGGUCUGAGAGGAUGAUCCGCCACACUGGAACUGAGACACGGUCCAGACUCCUACGGGAGGCAGCAGUGGGGAAUUUUGGACAAUGGGCGCAAGCCUGAUCCAGCCAUGCCGCGUGAGUGAAGAAGGCCUCGGUUGUAAG
rnacentral:rRNA from 1 species